rnacentral:tRNA from 1 species
GACUCUGUGGUGCAAUGGAUAGCGCAUUGGACUUCUAAUUCAAAGGCUGUGUGUUCAAGUCCCACCAGAGUCA